rnacentral:rRNA from 1 species
GACGAACGCUGGCGGCGUGCUUAACACAUGCAAGUCGAACGGAAAGGCCCUGCUUUUGUGGGGUGCUCGAGUGGCGAACGGGUGAGUAACACGUGAGUAACCUGCCCUUGACUUUGGGAUAACUUCAGGAAACUGGGGCUAAUACCGGAUAGGAGCUCCUGCUGCAUGGUGGGGGUUGGAAAGUUUCGGCGGUUGGGGAUGGACUCGCGGCUUAUCAGCUUGUUGGUGGGGUAGUGGCUUACCAAGGCUUUGAAGGGUAGCCGGCCUGGGCGGGUGACAGGCCACAUUGGGAUUGGGAUACGGCCCAGACUCCUACGGGAGGCAGCAGUGGGGAAUAUUGCACAAUGGGCGGAAGCCUGAUGUAGCAACGCCGCGUGCGGGAUGACGGGCUUCGGGUUGUAAACCGCUUUCGCCUGUGACGAAGCGUGAGUGACGGUAAUGGGUAAAGAAGCACCGGCUAACUACGUG